rnacentral:misc_RNA from 1 species
GAUGAAGAACGCAGUGAAAUGCGAUAAGUAAUGUGAAUUGCAGAAUUCAGUGAAUCAUCGAGUCUUUGAACGCACAUUGCGCCCCCUGGUAUUCCGGGGGGCAUGCCUGUCCGAGCGUCAUUGCUGCCCUCAAGCACGGCUUGUGUGUUGGGCCCCCGUCCCCGGUUUCCCCCGGGGACGGGCCCGAAAGGUAGCGGCGGCACCGCGUCCGGUCCUCGAGCGUAUGGGGCUUUGUCACCCGCUCUGUAGGCCCGGCCGGCGCCAGCCGACACCCAACUUUAUUUCUAAGGUUGACCUCGGAUCAGGUAGGGAUACCCGCUGAACUUAAGCAUAUCAAUAAGCGGAGGA